AGUCAAUGAACUUGUUUAAGUAUAUAUUUUGAAAAUAUAAAAAAGGAUAAAUAUUCCUAUUGACUU
rnacentral:tRNA from 1 species